AUAGAGUUCGUUAGCAUCCUUCGUAUAUCCUCGAUAAUAUGGUUCGAAAGUUUCUACCCGGUCACCGUAAAUGACUGGACUAUGAAGGCAGUGUUCUAUUUA
rfam:Bacillus enclensis strain SGD-1123 genomic scaffold Scaffold12, whole genome shotgun sequence.